rnacentral:rRNA from 1 species
UCCGUAGGUGAACCUGCGGAAGGAUCAUUCAUAAUAAGUGUUUUAUGGCACUUUUUAAAUCCAUAUCCACCUUGUGUGCAAUGUCAGUCGAUCUUCUUCAUGGAGAUCGACCAAACAUCAACCUUAUCUUUUAACUCUUUGUCUGAAAAAUAUUAUGAAUAAACAAUUCAAAAUACAACUUUCAACAACGGAUCUCUUGGCUCUCGCAUCGAUGAAGAACGCAGCGAAAUGCGAUACGUAAUGUGAAUUGCAGAAUUCAGUGAAUCAUCGAAUCUUUGAACGCACAUUGCACUCUCUGGUAUUCCGGAGAGUAUGCUUGUUUGAGUAUCAGUAAACACCUCAAGUCUCUUCUCUAGAGAAGAGAAUUGGACUUGAGCAAUCCCAACUCUUUGCAAAAAGAGGCGGGUUGCUUGAAAUGCAGGUGCAGCUGGACAUUCUUCUGAGCUAAAAGCAUAUUUAUUUAGUCCCGUCAAACGGAUUAUUACUUUUGCUCUAGCUAAUAUAAAGGUCGAAUGUACUAUACGCUGACUGAUGCAGGAUUACCAAGUUUUACCUAGUAAAACUUGUAAACUCGAUCUCAAAUCAAGUAAGACUACCCGCUGAACUUAAGCAUAUCAAUAAGCGGAGG